GCUCGAGGAGGGAAAACGAUUCAGAGCAAAAAAUUAACAUCCGGCCGACGUUCCCCGGUAGAGAGAGUCGCUCACCGAGAGAGCCAGAGCGGACGCCGUUUAAUGACCCGGAGGCGGUCUCGGAAAUCGACCCGUCGUGUUUGCCGAGCCUGCGCCGAGCCCCGGACCCGUGAGAGAAGGAUAUAACAAUAAGACAGAGGCGAUCCCCGCCCGCAAGCGCUUGGGGGAACACUGCGGAAUCAGCACGCGGGCGCCCUGGCGCGGGGACGCGAAAUCUACAGGGGAAGACGGGCAGUGAGAUAACUCGCCGACGGGGAGAGGGCAAGGUGGAUACGGAUACGGGCCCGGUGGGCUUUAAAGCGCCCGUCCUUCUACGACCCGGCUUUUCCGGCUCCGCCCUACCCCGAGCCCACCUACUCACGGCGCUUCGUUCCCGCCCCUCCCGCCGUCGACCUCUCGCUCGCCCCCGUCCCUCUUCUCACCUGGCAGACCGUCGCCCUCCCUCCUUCCGAAGUCUCAUCUCAUUCGCUCUUUUAACGGUGCUGAGCGCUCUCUACGCGACCGAGCGGGAAGCCCUUUCGAAAAUGCCAAAUCAGCGGAGCGUCAACGCACCUCAUCGACCACAACCAGGCCCAAGUCGCUCAUUCUUCCCGUUUCAAUCAGGGCGUUCACCAGGCUGUGACCUUUUUCUAUGGUGGCAACAAAGACGGAUCUUUUUCUCCUUCUUUUGACUGGCGGUAAUCUUCCUUUGCUGCCAGCGUAUUCUUCGACGAGGAAAUCCAGCUCGAUUCCGAAAUGUAACAAGCCCCUGAUCUGCAACAGAACGGUUUGCGAAAAGGCGACGUGGACGGGAGUCACUGGAAUCACCCACAGCAUUAAAUCUACCCGCUAGCCAUUCACGCUCCUCUUUGCCGAGGAUAUUCGGCGUUGGCCUAAAGGACGCCGAUCGGAUUAUUUCGGUCUACUCCGGCGCCUGGCGCGCCGGGCAUCUAUUGAGCGUUCGCUAAGAACGGACGGGACCUGACGCCGCUCUUCUAAAACGAAUUCUGAGGCUCUGCAAAAUAAACGGAAACUUUUCGCCUACAAAA